rnacentral:rRNA from 1 species
GAUGAACGCUGGCGGCGUGCCUAACACAUGCAAGUCGAACGAAGCACUUUCAUGAACCUUCGGGUGAUUGACUGUGACUGAGUGGCGGACGGGUGAGUAACGCGUGGGUAACCUGCCCUGUACAGGGGGAUAACAGCUGGAAACGGCUGCUAAUACCGCAUAAGCGCACGAGGGGACAUCCCCUUGUGUGAAAAACUCCGGUGGUACAGGAUGGGCCCGCGUCUGGUUAGAUAGUUGGCGGGGUAACGGCCCACCAAGUCGACGAUCAGUAGCCGGUCUGAGAGGAUGAACGGCCACAUUGGAACUGAGACACGGUCCAAACUCCUACGGGAGGCAGCAGUGGGGAAUAUUGCACAAUGGGGGAAACCCUGAUGCAGCAACGCCGCGUGAGUGAAGAAGUAUUUCGGUAUGUAAAGCUCUAUCAGCAGGGAAGAUAAUGACGGUA